rnacentral:rRNA from 1 species
UAGGAAUCUUCCACAAUGGACGCAAGUCUGAUGGAGCAACGCCGCGUGAGUGAAGAAGGUUUUCGGACCGUAAAGCUCUGUUGUUGGUGAAGAAGGAUAGAGGUAGUAACUGGCCUUUAUUUGACGGUAAUCAACUAGAAAGUCACGGCUAACUACGUGCCAGCAGCCGCGGUAAUACGUAGGCGGCAAGCGUUGUCCGGAUUUAUUGGGCGUAAAGCGAGCGCAGGCGGAAGAAUAAGUCUGAUGUGAAAGCCCUCGGCUUAACCGAGGAAUUGCAUCGGAAACUG